rnacentral:rRNA from 1 species
UACGUAGGUGGCAAGCGUUGUCCGGAAUUACUGGGCGUAAAGCGCACGUAGGCGGCUUUGUAAGUUAGAGGUGAAAGCCCAGGGCUUAACCCUGGAAUUGCCUUUAAGACUGCAUCGCUAGAAUCGUGGAGAGGUGAGUGGAAUUCCGAGUGUAGAGGUGAAAUUCGUAGAUAUUCGGAAGAACACCAGUGGCGAAGGCGACUCACUGGACACGUAUUGACGCUGAGGUGCGAAAGCGUGGGGAGCAAACAGG